GUUCUUUUGCUGUUUGUAAUAAAUCUUGCUGCAGCUAACUUUUUGGGUCUGCGCCGCUUUUAUGAGCUGUAAUACUCACCGCGAAGGUCUGCAGCUUCACUCCUGAGGCCAGCAAGACCAUGAACCCACCGGAAGGAACGAAACUCCAGACGUGCAGCCUUUAAGAGCUGUAACACUCACCGUGAAGGUCUGCAGCUUCGCUCCUGAAGUCAGCGAGACCACGAAACCACCAGAAGGAACAAACUCCAGACACACCAUCUUUAAGAACUGUAACACUCACCGCGGGGGUCUGCUGCUUCAUUCUUGAAGUCAGUGAGACGAAGAAGCCACCAAUUCCGGACGCACUACAACAUGAAUGAAUCUCAAAAAUAUUAUGCACUACUUUUAAGAGCUGUAA
rnacentral:lncRNA from 1 species